rnacentral:rRNA from 1 species
UACGUAGGGUGCAAGCGUUGUCCGGAAUUAUUGGGCGUAAAGAGCUCGUAGGCGGCCUGUCGCGUCAGCUGUGAAAACCCGGGGCUCAACCCCGGGCCUGCAGUCGAUACGGGCAGGCUAGAGUCCGGUAGGGGAGACUGGAAUUCCUGGUGUAGCGGUGAAAUGCGCAGAUAUCAGGAGGAACACCGGUGGCGAAGGCGGGACUCUGGGCCGAUACUGACGCUGAGGCGCGAAAGCCAGGGGAGCGAACGGG